rnacentral:tRNA from 1 species
UUAAUUGAAGCCAAAAUAGAGGCAUAUUACUGUUAAUAAUAUAAUUGAACACUAAAUGUUCCAAUUAAG